AGCGUAGACGGCAAGGCAAGUCUGAUGUGAAAACCCAGGGCUUAACCCUGGGACUGCAUUGGAAACUGUCUGGCUCGAGUGCCGGAGAGGUAAGCGGAAUUCCUAGUGUAGCGGUGAAAUGCGUAGAUAUUAGGAAGAACACCAGUGGCGAAGGCGGCUUACUGGACGGUAACUGACGUUGAGGCUCGAAAGCGUGGGGAGGCAAAACA
rnacentral:rRNA from 1 species